GACGAACGCUGGCGGCGUGCUUAACACAUGCAAGUCGAACGGAAAGGCCCUGCUUUUGUUGGUUGCUCGAGUGGCGAACGGGUGAGUAACACGUGAGUAACCUGCCCUUGACUUUGGGAUAACUUCAGGAAACUCGGGCUCAUACCGGAUAGGAUCUCCUGCUGCAUGGUGUGGGUUGGAAAGUUUCGGCGGUUGGGGAUGGACUCGCGGCUUAUCAGCUUGUUGGUGGGGUAGUGGCUUACCAAGGCUUUGACGGGUAGCCGGCCUGAGAGGGUUACCGGCGACAUUGGGACUGAGAGACGGACCAGAAUCCUACGGGAGGCAGCAGUGGGGAAUAUUGCAGAAUGGGCGGAAGCCUGAUGCAGCAACGCCGCGUGCGGGAUGACGGCCUUCGGGUUGUAAACCGCUUUGGCCGGUGACGAAGAGUGAGUGACGGUAAUGGGUAAAGAAGCACCGGCUAACUACGUG
rnacentral:rRNA from 1 species